CCUGUCUCAGUUCGGAUUGGAGUCUGCAACCCGACUCCAUGAAGCUGGAUUCGCUAGUAAUCGCGCAUCAGCCACGGCGCGGUGAAUACGUUCCCGGGCCUUGUACACACCGCCCGUCAAGCCAUGGGAGCCGGGAGUGCCUGAAGUACGUGACCGCAAGGAGCGUCCUAGGGUAAGACCGGUGACUGGGGCUAAGUCGUAACAAGGUAUC
rnacentral:rRNA from 1 species